UGAGGUAUGGUGUAAUGGUAGCACUACAGAUUUUGGUUCUGCCUGCCCAGGUUCGAAUCCUGGUACCUCAACAA
rnacentral:tRNA from 1 species